UUUUAUUAUUACAUCCAACAACAAAUUACAGUGAAAAAUAACCGCCCAAAUCCCACAAAAAUCAAACACAACCUAAUCUCAAGAUGGAAUAGAAACACAGGGUACAACACCAGAUGGAUCCUUCCUUCUUGCAGCCCCAAAUAUGAUAAUAAUAAUCAAUCACUUGGUAAUGGCAUAGAUGGCGUAAAUAAUCCCAGGAAGAUAUCCGAAGAUGGUCAGCAGCAAGCAUAUCCAGAACUCAAUCUCACAUCCGAACUUGAGGAACACCCCGAGCGGCGGGAGGAGGAUGGCAAUGAUAAUGUCGACGAAGGUGGCGGUUCCCAUCUUCAGCAGCUACUGUAGAUUUG
rnacentral:misc_RNA from 1 species